rnacentral:rRNA from 1 species
GACUGAACGCUAGCGGCAGGCUUAACACAUGCAAGUCGAGGGGCAGCAUAAACAUUGCUUGCAAUGUUUGAUGGCGACCGGCGCACGGGUGCGUAACGCGUAUGUAACCUACCUCAAACAGGGGGCAUAACACUGAGAAAUUGGUACUAAUUCCCCAUAACACCUGAUAGGGCAUCCUAUUAGGUUGAAAGUUCCGGCGGGUUUGAGAUGGACAUGCGUUGUAUUAGCUAGUUGGUGGGGUAACGGCCCACCUAGCCGACGAUCUUAGGGGUUCUGAGAGGAAGGUCCCCCACACUGGUACUGAGACACGGUCCAAACUCCUACGGGAGGCAGCAGUGAGGAAUAUUGGUCAAUGGCCGGAAGGCUGAACCAGCCAAGUAGCGUGGAAGGAUGACUGCCCUAUGGGUUGUAAACUUCUUUUAUAUGGGAAUAAAAGACAUUACGUGUAGUGUUUUGUAUGUACCUUAUGAAUAAGCAUCGGCUAAUUCCGUG